UACGUAGGCAGCGAGCGUUGUUCGGAGUUACUGGGCGUAAAGAGUGCGUAGGCGGUUUUCUAAGUUUGGUGUGAAAUCUCCCGGCUUAACUGGGAGGGUGCGCCGAAGACUGGAAGGCUUGAGUAUGGGAGAGGUAAGCGGAAUUCCUGGUGUAGCGGUGAAAUGCGUAGAUAUCAGGAGGAAUACCGAUGGUGAAGGCAGGUCUCUGGGCUGACACUGACGCUCAUGCACGAAAGCGUGGGGAGCAAACAGG
rnacentral:rRNA from 1 species